UGGAGAUCGCUCUUUUUGUAGCCCUUCUGUGUGCCUGGGAUGUGGGCAAGUGACUGAAGCCUGGGGCUGUUGGGCAUUUUGAGACAGAGCUCUCAUGGAACAAUGCUCAUCAGGCGAAGGGGAAGCAGAUAAAGGAGAGGACCACAAACAGGCCUUGUGAUAGCAUGUGCUGUAGAAGGAAAGAGUCUGGGAAAACAUAUUUGUCAGAUGUGAAAUAAAAGGCACCAGAAGAAACCUGAUCUGGCAAGGAUUACUUUUUCAUGGCUAGAGACGUUUCUGGAUAAGAGCACGAAAUAUACUAUUUUGCCUUUUCAAUCACAAAGUUGUCUGAACUUAUGCUUCUGUCAGGAAAAAAAAAACCACCACAAAAAGAGCUCAGGUCUACCACAUAUUGUGGGGCUGUUAUAUUUUUUGGUUUAAUGUCAGGAUUUAGUUGCAAGUUUGGAAUUUUAUUACUCUUUUUAUUACUUGAGACAGUAAAAGGGGGCAAGGUAUGUGCACUGAAAACUUCUCAUGUCUGGUUGCUGGGAUUUUUGAAGUCUUUUAUCAAGGCAAAGGGACAAUAAUACAGAUUAUUUUAGAUUAUGUGAUGGAUUUUGCAUGAAAAUGCUUGCAGUCAUGAAAAUUUCAUUGAACUAUAGUGUUUUUUUUACUGGCUGGACAUCUCUGAGCUCCAUACCUGAAC
rnacentral:lncRNA from 1 species